AUGGCUCGAACCAAGUGUACAACUCAUAAGUCCACCGGAGGAAAGGCUCCCACGAAGCACCUUGCAGCCGCUCGUAAAACAGCUCUAGCAACUGGAGGAGCGAAGAAGCCCCGCAGAUAUCGUCCUAGAACUAUUGCUCUUCGUGACAUUCGCAAGUAUCAGAAGGGUACCGAGAUGCUGAUAAGGAAACUACCUUUUUAG
rnacentral:rRNA from 1 species